CUAUCGUAGUUAAGCAGAAGAAAUUAUUAUGCAUCUAGAAUUACCCGCAACAAACCGAUCCAUUUAAUUGUGGAAUAUGGACUUGUGUGAACAUGCUUUCAGCAGCUGUGGACAAUCCUCGUGUAGCCAACAACAUCAAUCCCAAUGACAUGAGGACGUAGCUAUUGCAUCGAAUUGUU